GCUCCAUUGUCAGUGGCUAAGGCUAGAGAAGUGUACAAAAGAGCUGGUCCUAGAACAGUUCCUGACUGUCCUUCCCCGCCACUGUCCUUCCCCGGGAGAUCCAGAUCUGGGUGAGACAGCAGCAUCCUGAGAGUGGAGAGGUGGCAGUGGCCCUGGUGGAAGACUUGCAGAAAGAACUUGGAAGGCAGGGCUGCAGGCAAUGGCGAAAAACUCACAGCCAGAACCAGAGAAACGGUUGAACCACAGCCCCAAAGUAGAACUCCAGCCUGUCCACAAGAGCGCCCUGCCUGAUCCUCGGGCUCUUGGAAUUCCUGCAGAGAAGAACAGGGUGGCCAGCGGAUAGUGAGCAGCUCCCAGGAGCUAGCGACACUUGGCGACUUGGCUGUGUAUGUCUCCUCGGAGGCAUGGAGGGAGCCAGAUUCUGGACAGAAGAACCACCUAGAAAUAACUUGGCAGAAUUCUGAAAAUGAGGUCAUGCUGGAGUCCUGGAUCCAUGAAAAACCCUGCACCUGCUGUUGAAACUGCCAAUUGUGCUGGAUUGUGGCUGAGCAGCUGCAAGAGCAUGGCUUCCUGUGGACCCUGGAGCAGUGUUGAUCUUGGUUUAAAAACCUCCAGACCAACUACUGCAAAGCCAGGAGCACCUACACGCCAGGCACCUGUGCCUUCCAUGAUGAGGUGGAUGGCCUGAUGAGUCCCUGGGCAGUUGCGAACACCUUUGAUGCCUUAGAGGUGGCAGGAGGCCUUCUUCGGAACCGAAGGGAUUCCAAAGGGAACCAAAGCACAGCACUAGAAGAUGUGGCGGGAUGGUAAUUAACUAGUGGAGGGGUCUCGAGGAACCCUGGAGCCUUGGUCUCCAGGUCUUGCGGUGGACUCCCAAUGGCAACACUCUCCCACAGUGGACCUCAGAGCAGUGGGAGCGAUGCAGUCUUGUGGAUAGCAUUCAGGCUAAGAAUCCGGAGACAUGAUUAUUGUCUUGGCUUGGCUAUGACUAAUUUGAGUCUGGAAUGGCCUCAUCGGGAAAAAUUGGUGACAAUUAAGGGAAUACUGUUUAUAUCCUGUCCUCAAAUAUUGCUUGACUCAACCCUCGACUGAACCAGUAGUCCAGGAUGGCUCACAAAGACCACCCUGAGUUGUUGCUCUGCUCUGAGUCUCCCUUCCUGCCUUUAGUUACAACAUUAUAGGAACAGAGGAGAGAAAUGUAGGAGUUAGUGCCCCAUAGAGGUCAACCCUGCGUAGAUUAUAUACAACGGUCUGCCACUUAAAAGGCUUGUUGUUGUUGGGCAACCUCUUUAAACACCCUUAGCAUCCAUUUUCUCAUCUGGACAGUGGACAUUGUGAGGGUUUCUACCUCCCUGGGCUGUUAGAGGAUCCUCACACAGUACUAGCACUUGGCAAAUGUUAGUUUUCAUUAUGACCGUCAUUAUAAUUAUUAUGAAAAUAGAUAAGUACACUGUCCUAUACUCUCAAAGGAGUAAUCCGUAUGGGAGAGAAGCCCUACAAAUGUGGAGUGUGCUGGAAGAGCUUCACCCAGAGCUCAAGGCUCAUUACGCACCAGAGAAUCCAUACAGGAGAGAAACCUUGUAAGUGUAGUGAGUGUGGAAAAAGUUUCAUCAGUAGUUCGUGCCUCAGUGCACUCUGGUGAACACACGCUGGUGAGAAACCCUUCCAGUGCCCAGAGUGUGGGAGAAAGUUCAGUAGGAGCUCCACCCUCACCAGCCAUCAAAGAAUCCACACAGGAGAGAAACCCUGUGAAUGUCGGGAAUGUGGGAAAGGUUUCAGUGACUGCUCAAACCUCAUUACCCACCAGCGAAUUCACUGUGGAGGGAGACCCUAUAAAUGCAGGCAAUAUGGGAAAAGCUUUAAUUAGAGCCUCAAGUCUCAUACACCAGUGAAUUAUACAGGAGAAAACCCCUAGCCAGGCACUGUGGCUCACACCUGUAAUCCCA